GACGAACGCUGGCGGCGUGCUUAACACAUGCAAGUCGAACGGAAAGGCCCUGCUUUUGUGGGGUGCUCGAGUGGCGAACGGGUGAGUAACACGAGAGUAACCUGCCCUUGACUUUGGGAUAACUUCAGGAAACUGGGGCUAAUACCGGAUAGGAGCUCCUGCUGCAUGGUGGGGGUUGGAAAGUUUCGGCGGUUGGGGAUGGACUCGCGGCUUAUCAGCUUGUUGGUGGGGUAGUGGCUUACCAAGGCUUUGACGGGUAGCCGGCCUGAGAGGGUGACCGGCCACAUUGGGACUGAGAUACGGCCCAGACUCCUACGGGAGGCAGAAGUGGGGAAUAUUGCACAAUGGGCGGAAGCCUGAUGCAGCAACGCAGCGUGCGGGAUGACGGCCUUCGGGUUGUAAACCGCUUUCGCCUGUGACGAAGCGUGAGUGACGGUAAUGGGUAAAGAAGCACCGGCUAACUACGUG
rnacentral:rRNA from 1 species